ensembl:lncRNA
GGUCAUCAUUCUGCUGCGGUGUGCGACCCUGUCUUGGUCAUGGAUGUCCCCGUGUGGGUGGAUGUAUGCCUGGACUGCCGUUCGGUGUCUCGUGUGGGCCGCUGUCUGUGAGUGUGUGUGUGCGUGCGAGGUGGGUGCCAUCGCCGGGGUCCGUGGGCGGCCUGUCCUGUAAUUCGCUGGACCGGGCUGCAGCCUUGGACAUGCUAUUGUGGGGCUAUCCUGGUGCCACGACUAAUUAAAGGGCCAAUAUUCCCCGGCGCGUUCUCCCUCCCCCACUGAAGCUGUUCUUGAUACCGGCUGAAACCGUUCUGGAUUCUGGUAAAACUUCUGAUUACACAAGCAAUCUGGAAACUGGUUUUUUUGUGCUUUCUCCCCUAUCAGGUC